ACCAACCAUUGCUGAGCUGAUUGGAACCAGAUAUGCAAUGAUAGUGCUGGAAGGGCAAAGCUUCUUCCAAGGAGGUAGUGAUGGUGUCCUUCCAAGAGCAAAGAUCUGUUUCAGCUGCCGUAAGCAGAUGUUUCUUAAGUGGCCUUACAGUUGUUACCUCUGCAGCAGAUGUCCAUGCCCUUCAGAACAUGUGUACAUCUCCCACUUCACUUCUUAAAACUUUUGAAACUCUCCAGAGAGGAGGACCCUGCCACUCAAGAGCAGAAGAGCUCAGAGUUGCUGCAUGAAAUAGAGCACUGGGAGUGUUCUGGGUAAGUUGGGAGAGAUGUUUUGGGUUUUUUACCUUGAAAGAUGUUAACCAGUU
rnacentral:lncRNA from 1 species